rnacentral:rRNA from 1 species
CGGUACAAGGGGUGCUUGCACCCCGCUCACGAGCGGCGGACGGGUGAGUAAUGCAUAGGAAACUGCCCAGUAGUGGGGGAUAGCCCGGGGAAACCCGGAUUAAUACCGCGUACGCCCUUCGGGGGAAAGCAGGGGAUCUUCGGACCUUGCGCUAUUGGAUGUGCCUAUGUCGGAUUAGCUAGUUGGUGGGGUAAAGGCCUACCAAGGCGACGAUCCGUAGCUGGUCUGAGAGGAUGAUCAGCCACAUCGGGACUGAGACACGGCCCGAACUCCUACGGGAGGCAGCAGUGGGGAAUAUUGGACAAUGGGGGCAACCCUGAUCCAGCCAUGCCGCGUGUGUGAAGAAGGCUUUCGGGUUGUAAAGCACUUUCAGUGAGGAGGAAAACUCUGCGACUAAUACUCGUAGGGCUUGACGUUACUCACAGAAGAAGCACCGGCUAACUCCGUGCCAGCAGCCGCGGUAAUACGGAGGGUGCAAGCGUUAAUCGGAAUUACUGGGCGUAAAGCGCGCGUAGGUGGUUUGAUAAGCGAGAUG